rnacentral:rRNA from 1 species
GACGAACGCUGGCGGCGUGCUUAACACAUGCAAGUCGAACGGAAAGGCCCUGCUUUUGUGGGGUGCUCGAGUGGCGACCGGGUGAGUAACACGUGAGUAACCUGCCCUUGACUUUGGGAUAACUUCAGGAAACUGGGGCUAAUACCGGAUAGGAGCUCCUGCUGCAUGGUGGGGGUUGGAAAGUUUCGGCGGUUGGGGAUGGACUCGCGGCUUAUCAGCUUGUUGGUGGGGUAGUGGCUUACCAAGGCUUUGCCGGGUAGCCGGCCUGAGAGGGUGACCGGCCACAUUGGGAUUGAGAUACGGCACAGACUCCUACGGGAGGCAGCAGUGGGGAAGAGUGCACAAUGGGCGGAAGGCUGAUGCAGCAACGCCGCGUGCGGGAUGACGGCCUUCGGGUUGUAAACCGCUUUCGCCUGUGACGAAGCGUGAGUGACGGUAAUGGGUAAAGAAGCACCGGCUAACUACGUG